CAGCUCUUUUUGUUCCAUCAGGCACCAUGGGUAACCUUGUUAGUGUGCUUGUGCAUUGUGACGUUAGGGGAAGUGAAGUAAUUCUUGGACACAAUUCUCACAUCCACAUAUAUGAGAAUGGAGGCAUUUCAACUCUUGGAGGUGUGCAUCCAAGGACAGUGCCGAAUAACAAGGAUGGAACGAUGGAUAUCAAUUUAAUUGAAGCUGCAAUUAGAGAUCCAAGAGGGGGACUUGUGUAUCCAACUACUAGGCUUAUCUGCCUGGAGAAUUCACAAGCCAACUGUGG
rnacentral:misc_RNA from 1 species